GCUGGCGCCUCAGGAAGGAGCCGGGGGGGGGGCCCGGGCCGGGCAGGGGGAACGAGGGGGGAACGAGGGGGGGGUCCGGGGGCGGGCGGCGAUCGCUCGGGGCCGGCUCCGAGGGGAGCAGCGCGGCCCCGGGCGGCCUCCGCUGCCCUCUGUGGGCGGCGGGGAGCAGCGGCCCCCGGGCCCCUCGGUGCCCCCCGCUCCCCCCUUCCAGCCCCGCACCCCCGGCAGGUGAACGCCGGCCCGAGACCUGUUGCGAUUUGGGUUCAUUUCGGCCGCGUUUCGUUCAGCAGCCGGCACUUGGGAAUUGUUUCAGCCCGCCCGCUCGCAGCGCGCUUCCCUCGGCCGCCCUCGUUGCCCGUGGCCCUUGAUUUAUUUUUUUAUUUUAUUUUUUUGAUGCCCACCUCGCUCCCCCAGCCUGGUGGAGCUGAGGCGGGCGUCGUGCGGCCUGCUCGGAGGGCUGGAGGGCUGAUCCACAGGGUGUUUGGGUGCUCUGUGGCUCCUCGCCCAACCCUCCCUGGGUGCUGGGGUUGCAUCAGAGCAGGCACUAUCACCACAGCAGGCACUAUCACCAGACCAGGCACUAUCACCACAGCAGGCACUAUCACCAGACCAGGCACUAUCACCACAGCAGGCACUAUCACCACCCAGCUCGGCGUUUUCACCCCGCCGCUGCCGUUCUCCUCCGCACGCUGCACUUGGACGGCUCAGGCGUUUCCCACGGCAUGUUAAUUUUUUCCCUCUGUGGUCUCCAGGAUUCCUUCCCAUGCCUGGCAGCUGUGUUUCUCCGGGAUGUUUCGCCCUUGUCCUCUCACCCAGGGUGGUGCCAGGAGCCCAGGAGCUGCUCGUGGAGUUAGCGCGGCUCCUCCUGCACCCUGGCGUUGUCCCCUUGUCCUCAGAGGAGCACAGGGCUUCAGGUUCCUGAGCAUGACACCACAAGCUCAGGGCAGCGUGCAUCGCUCUGCUCUGCCCUAAACCCAGCACCCGCAGCCAGCCUUGCACCUCUGCUGCACAGUGAGCAGUCCUGACACAGAAAGCCUUUGGUUCUGAGGCACUUCCCUCCCUGCUCGGCAUCCAAACGUUGCUGCAGAACGGCCCUUCUGUGCAUGCCACCGCGAGGCCGCGGAGCUUAGAGAUGCUUCAGAGCACAAGACCACGGGGAAGCUGGGAGAUCCUCGCUGCCGAGCGGUUCACAGAGCUGCAAGUGGGAAUCCAGACCCUCAGCUCCCACCGCAGCCCUGUCGGCGAGGGGAUCACAUCAGCCCAGCCCUACUCCAUCUGAGGUGGAAGCAACAGGCUUUUGAAGUUUGCAUGAAAAAUAGAAGGUUUGGGGUUUAAUGCUCCUUUGCUAAUCUUGUCAGAUGCCUAGCAGCUUAUGAGAGGAGACACUGAAAAGUUGAUCCAAUCUGUGGGAUAGAUAUAGAUACUUUUGGACAGGUUCCUAAUGCAGGUUCCUAAGCACAUUUACAAAUCUAGAUUCAUGUGACUGACACAGAGCUGCCUCAUAAACUUUUGGUGCCCUGGAGCUUCUAGCCAAGACUUGCAAGUAAAUGAUUGUCCCAUGGGUGUAAGCUAUUAAUCAUCAGCAUCAUGAAACGGAGUUUUCACAUACGGCUACCACCCAAAAAUCUUUAUUAUUCCUUUGCACACUUCACGCCCCUAUGACGUAAAAACUUGGAAGACAAUUAAUAAUGUAAGCCCAGGAGGCACUAGUACCUAGUGAUCCACCGAGCACAGGACUGCCAGUCAGUCACCCCUUUACCUGUUCAAGGAUUUGUAGUGGCAAGGCGCCGUAGCUGACAGCAAAGGCACCUACCUAAGCAGUUUGCUUGCUACAGGAUACGUUGGCAUGUUGCCACCAGAGCUGAUGGGGGUGUACAGAGUACAGUGUCCACCAGUCUAUGGGUAGCACCCCGUUGUUUCACGUCUUGUGACUGCAGCCAACCCAGCCAUUCCAGCAGCAAGCUGUUCAGAAGGCAAAGUCCCGGUGUGCAUUCGCAGUACCUGGCUUGGAGGUCACUGCUCAUGGCUAAGCUCUCAGCAGCUAUUCCUUCCCUUUGAUCAGAUCUUCAGA